AAACUCACAUCCAAAGCUCUUCCUCCCUGUCAUUAACUUUCUACGGUUGGUUUCAGAACUCAGUGGAACUCAUGGCAGUGUCUUCAAUCUCCGUUACUGCUUCACAGCAAUUCAAUAGCUUGUAAUUCUCUUCAUUAUAAUCAGGUUAGAAUUUUGUGCUUAAUUUUACGAAUGUUCGAUUCUUAGACAGUGAAGAAGAUGAAAUACCCUGUGAGGAAGAUCUCCCAUAAUUGAUAGGAAGUGCCGUAUGACAAUCUAAACGCAGCGCCAAACGAAGAAUUUGUUCUUUGUGGCGCUGUGUGUGUGAUUUGGAACGGGUCUCUGAGGGUUUUCUAUUUAUUAAAUUGUUUUUUACUUUUUAAUCUGGUUUUUUAGGGUUAGGUCCGAUGCCACGUCGCUGGUAGCUUUAAUUCAGCGGUGACCAGUGAUGCUAUGAUUGGACCAAAAUCAAAAGUGAAUUUCGUUUGUUUCGCAUUCUGAUAGGAAUCUGUGGAUUUCAUACUUUAUGAUCUGCGGAGCCGUUUUGUGCGAUUACAUUUUUAUUGUUUGUUUGAUCUUCAUGUCGUUAGUUUCUUGAUGUUGUCAUGCCUGUGGCGAAGUCGACGAUGAUUUGUUUUAAUUGGAAUUACCGUCUGAUAUUUGAUGAGAAUUUCUGGCUGACUGAGGCUUCGCCUUUGCUAAAAAAUAUUCAACUUUUACGUUUUGAUUUACCUUUAAUGGAAUUCAUUUUUUUUUGUUGUUCUUUUAUUAUUAUUUUUAAUUUUUAAUUAUUAGAAGGUUCAGGUAAAUAUUUGUAGGGUAUUUUUUCCUCACCUUCGUAUUUUCUUUGUCCACCUCCAUGUUUAUAUUGAAAUGACUUCUUCAUACAAAAUUUAUUUAAAACCCUAAUAUUUCGCCUAAUAACUUUUUUGGAUUCUUUUUCUCAUUUUUUGCAGGAAAAGCUUUACCUCGGUGAAUAUCUUUGGCUGAGAGCUGAGAAUUUUGAAGCUUUAAUUCAAUCAUUUUUUUGAAUUUGAAUUUAGUGUUACUCUGUUUAUAUUCUCCGCAAUGAUUCUGACUGUCUUCCCUUUCGUGACACUGCGGAAUGCCUGUUCUUCAAAUAUUAAAUUCGAAGAAACCCGAAGGAACUUAAUUCGAAUAUUAAAUUUAAAAUAAAUAAAAAAUUAAAAUAAUAAAGAAUAAAUUUUGAAAAUUUAAAAUAAAACAAACAGAACAGAAAACAAAAUUAACAAAUUUUAAAUAAAAAACAACAAAAAUUUAAUAAGAACAAAAUAUAAUUAAAAUUUUUAAAAAAUAAACUAAAAUUAAAUUAAACAAUUAUAAACAAAUAAUAAAAAUUCAUAUAAUAUAUAAAAAAAGUUUUUUUUAAUAACAAUUAUUAAAUAGGCUUAAUAAUACUAAUAGUUUUCGAAAUGGUCUUAGUCUUUUUGUCUAAGGUAGUCUCAAAAAAUUUAAUAUAUACAUAAUCUGAAACUCUAAUUUCUCUCUAAUCAUCUAACCUUAGUAUCACAAUGACCAUGAUGCCCUCCAAGCGCCACAUUUUCAUCACGCAUGCUGUCACCAUACAUAUUUUAGGUAAGAGAAGAACAAAAAUUAUACAGAUUCACCCUAAAACCUAAAAACUAUGUAGUUCGAAAUGAAAAAAGAAAUUUUGAAGUGAUUCUUAUUUUGAUUAAUACCUUUAGUAGUUUCUAUACUUGUCAUGUUUCUUGGAUUAUUCAUAAGCGGUAUUCAAGCUCUCAUUUAUGCUACUUUAGUUGUGGCUUAUAUAGGUGAAUCCAUUGAAGGCCUAACACCAUGCCUUUGUGCCAUCAUCCUCUCCUUCUGUAACACCCGGGCACUGACGAGGGUGGGGAGUGAUCGCCGGUGCAAGAAGCAUGGUGCAGGGGGCACGGACAAGGAGUGACUCCUGGCAGGCUUCGAGUGGAAGGGGCACAUGGACAAAUCGAACAUACACAGGAAUGAGAGGGAUCUGGAGAUUGUAUAGGUAUGAGACUAUACAGUUGAAGGAUAACUUAAAGGAAUUGAUUUGACUACUUAUAUUAACAAAUGCAUUUGCUUUUCGGUAGCCUAACUCAUAAGAACUCCAUGGUUAAGUGUGCUUAGUAAUUAUGGGAUGGGUAACCUUCCGGGAAGUUUUCUCGGAAAGUGUGUGAGUGAGGACAAAACACACUGGAAGUUACACCUUCCACCAUCAAUCUCGGGUCAACUGUCGCAAAGCGCACUUCCACCAUCAUCAACUGCAUUAGAAACCUGGAUCAAAUCUAAUCCAGAAAACCCAACCCAAUCGUGCCUAAGAACCACCAUAUUUGGGAUUGAAAGUUAAUGAAGAUUGUGACGUGACAGUAGUUAAAUGUCAUCUUAUUAGGAUUUUGCACAGUUGGAACCAUUUUGAACAAACAAUAGAGUGUUAUUAAACCUAUUAAAU
rnacentral:lncRNA from 1 species